GGGCUCUUAGCGCAACGGUAGCGCGCCUGCAUGGCAUGCAGGAGGUUGCGGGUUCAAAUCCCGCAGAGUCCA
rnacentral:tRNA from 1 species